GUUAGCGGCGGACGGGUGAGUAACACGUGGGUAACCUACCUAUAAGACUGGGAUAACUUCGGGAAACCGGAGCUAAUACCGGAUAACAUUUAGAACCGCAUGGUUCUAAAGUGAAAGAUGGUUUUGCUAUCACUUAUAGAUGGACCCGCGCCGUAUUAGCUAGUUGGUAAGGUAACGGCUUACCAAGGCGACGAUACGUAGCCGACCUGAGAGGGUGAUCGGCCACACUGGAACUGAGACACGGUCCAGACUCCUACGGGAGGCAGCAGUAGGGAAUCUUCCGCAAUGGGCGAAAGCCUGACGGAGCAACGCCGCGUGAGUGAUGAAGGGUUUCGGCUCGUAAAACUCUGUUAUUAGGGAAGAACAAAUGUGUAAGUAACUGUGCACAUCUUGACGGUACCUAAUCAGAAAGCCACGGCUAACUACGUGCCAGCAGCCGCGGUAAUACGUAGGUGGCAAGCGUUAUCCGGAAUUAUUGGGCGUAAAGCGCGCGUAGGCGGUUUCUUAAGUCUGAUGUGAAAGCCCACGGCUCAACCGUGGAGGGUCAUUGGAAACUGGGAAACUUGAGUGCAGAAGAGGAAAGUGGAAUUCCAUGUGUAGCGGUGAAAUGCGCAGAGAUAUGGAGGAACACCAGUGGCGAAGGCGACUUUCUGGUCUGUAACUGACGCUGAUGUGCGAAAGCGUGGGGAUCAAACAGGAUUAGAUACCCUGGUAGUCCACGCCGUAAACGAUGAGUGCUAAGUGUUAGGGGGUUUCCGCCCCUUAGUGCUGCAGCUAACGCAUUAAGCACUCCGCCU
rnacentral:rRNA from 1 species